CAUGCCCCCCUCCCUAUGGCUUGCUGGCAUUCAAAGUGGUGAGCCAUAGCGGGGUGGCAUAGU
ensembl:miRNA mdo-mir-7283 mdo-mir-7283